rnacentral:lncRNA from 1 species
UUUAAAAUAAUACAUGUAUUAUGUAUGAAAUACUGCCACUAUUUAUAUAUAUUAAUAUAUAUACAACUGUACAAUAUAAAAACAAACUUCCCAGCAGAGAUAAGCAUGCCAAAAUCUCACUAAUAAUGCGUUCUUAAAAGUAUUAUAUAGUAUUAUGCAUACAUGUAGUAGUCAUGUCAACCCCUAGACAUAACCGGAUGUUUUGAAGUCAUUUGAGUAUAUACGUUUAUAUAUAAAACCAAAUAAAUAUUAUGAAAAGAUAUAUUAAGUUAGUCAUCUAUAAUGAUCUACUGUGGUUCAGUGUGGGACUUCUGUUAUAGUGUAAUUGUCUACUACAUAUUUAUCGCUAUAUUUGUAUAAGGAUUCUCAAAAACACAUAGAUAUAAGAAGAUGUGAUAUGAGUGCCAAUGCGACAACUCUCCAUCCAAGUCACAAGUUGUAAAUAGUUAACCAUUCAUUAUAGGUCAAAAUGUGGACUUCAACGGUACUGCAUCUAGGUCUCGGAUGUCUGGUAGUCUAAGUAAUUACAGCUAGGUCUCGGAUGUCUGGUAGUGUAAGUAAUUACAGCUAUGUCUCGGAUGUCUGGUAGUCUAAGUAAUUACAGCUAGGUCUCGGAUGUAUGGUAUUCUAAGUUAUAACAGCUAGGUCUCGGAUGUCUGGUAGUCUAAG